AUUUAAUAAAAUAUUACUUACAUGAACGGUGUGUGGUCGAUCUUUUUAGAUCUAGUAGGGUGUUGGUGGUGGAGGAGAAGCGUAGAUGUAGACCGGAGGUGGAGGUGAUUUCAUUGGUGGGGGAGGUGAGUGGUAGUAGUAUGGAGGAGGUGGUGACGGAGAUGGAGGAGGUGGAGAUUUGUAGUAGUAUGGUGGUGGGGGAAAGUGGACUGGUGGGGGGGGAGAUUUGUAGUAGUAUGGGGGAGGAGGAGAUGGUGAUGGUGGAGGAGGGGAGUUGUAGUGGUAGGUAGGUGCUGGAGCUUUCACUGGAGGUGGGGGUGAUUUGUAGUAGUAUGGUAGAGGUGGUGAAGGAGAUGGUGGUGGUGGGGAUUUGUAGUAGUAUGGUGGAGGUGGAGAGUGGACUGGUGGUGGUGGGGAUUUGUAGUAGUAUGGUGGGGGUGGAGAGUGGACUGGUGGUGGUGGGGACUUGUAAUAGUAUGGUGGAGGUGGUGAGGGAGAAGGUGGUGGUGGAGACUUGUAGUAGUAUGGUGGUGGGGACUUGUAAUAGUAUGGUGGAGGAGAUGGCGAUGGUGGUGGAGGAGAUUUGUAGAUGUAUGGGGGCUCCUCUACGUGUUUUGGUGGUGGUGGGGACUUGUAAUAGUAUGGUGGAGGUGGUGAGGGAGAAGGUGGUGGUGGAGACUUGUAGUAGUAUGGUGGUGGUGGGGAAUGAACUGGUGGUGGUGGGGACUUGUAAUAGUAUGGUGGUGGAGGAGAUGGCGAUGGUGGUGGAGGAGAUUUGUAGAUGUAUGGGGGCUUCUCUACGUGUUUUGGUGGUGGUGGAGACUUGUAAUAGUAUGGUGGAGGUGGUGAGGGAGAAGGUGGUGGUGGAGACUUGUAGUAGUAUGGUGGGGGUGGGGAGUGGACUGGUGGUGGUGGAGACUUGUAGUAGUAUGGUGGUGGUGGAGAAUGAACUGGUGGUGGUGGGGACUUGUAAUAGUAUGGUGGUGGAGGAGAUGGCGAUGGUGGUGGAGGAGAUUUGUAGAUGUAUGGGGGCUCCUCUACAUGUUUCGGUGGUGGUGGGGACUUGUAGUAGUAUGGUGGAGGAGAUGGUGAUGGUGGUGGAGGAGAUUUGUAAUAGUAUGGUGGAGGAGGAGAUGGCGAUGGUGGUGGGGGAGACUUGUAGUAGUAUGGGGGCUCCUCUACAUGUUUCGGCGGUGGUGGGGACUUGUAGUAGUAUGGUGGAUGAGGAGAUGGCGAUGGUGGUGGGGGUGAUUUGUAAUAGUAUGGUGGGGGUGGUGAUGGAGAUGGUGGUGGUGGGGACUUGUAGUAGUAUGGUGGAGGAGGAGAUGGUGAUGGUGGUGGAGGAGAUUUGUAGUAGUAUGGGGGCUCUUCUACAUGUUUUGGUGGUGGUGGGGAUUUGUAGUAAUAUGGUGGUGGAGGAGAUGGCGAUGGUGGAGGAGGAGAUUUGUAGUAGUAUGGAGGUUGCUCCUCAUGUUUUGGUGGUGGUGGGGACUUGUAGUAGUAUGGUGGUGGUGGAGAGUGAACUGGUGGUGGUGGGGACUUGUAAUAGUAUGGUGGAGGAGGAGAUGGUGAUGGUGGUGGAGGAGACUUGUAGUAGUACGGGGGCUGCUCUACAUGCUUUGGUGGUGGUGGAGACUUGUAGACAUAAGUGGGAGGUGGUGGUGAUUUGUAGUAGUACACAGGUGGUGGAGGUGACUUGUAAACAUAAGUCGGCGAUGGUGGAGGUGGUGACUUGUAAACAUAAGUGGGAGCCGGUGGAGGUGGAGACUUAUAGUAGUAUGGAGGUUGUUCCACAUGUUUUGGUGGUGGUGGAGACUUGUAGUAGUACACAGGAGGUGGAGGUGACUUGUAAACAUAAGUGGGAGCCGGUGGAGGUGGAGACUUAUAGUAGUAUGGAGGCUGUUCCACAUGCUUUGGUGGUGGUGGAGACUUGUAGUAGUACGCAGGAGGUGGAGGUGACUUGUAAACAUAAGUUGGUGAUGGUGGAGGUGGUGACUUGUAAACAUAAGUGGGAGCCGGUGGAGGUGGAGACUUAUAAUAGUACGGUGGUGGCUUGUACGGAUGAGUCGGAGGCUUAGGAGUGUACUUUUCACACUUCUUGUAAGGUUUCUUUGAACCAUAACCAAAUGGCUUAGCUCUAAGCACAACCUCGUACUUGUCCUCUGACUUGACCUUGAGCACAGCACCCUCGAUGCCAUCAUGUACACUCAUGGGUAUGUUGCAUGAUGAACCCUUAGGUGGGGC
rnacentral:lncRNA from 1 species